rnacentral:rRNA from 1 species
GUAGGGUCCGAGCGUUGUCCGGAAUUAUUGGGCGUAAAGGGCUCGUAGGCGGUCUGUCGCGUCGGGAGUGAAAACUCAGGGCUCAACCCUGAGCGUGCUUCCGAUACGGGCAGACUAGAGGUAUGCAGGGGAGAACGGAAUUCCUGGUGUAGCGGUGGAAUGCGCAGAUAUCAGGAGGAACACCGGUGGCGAAGGCGGUUCUCUGGGCAUGACCUGACGCUGAGGAGCGAAAGCAUGGGGAGCGAACAGGAUUAGAUACCCUGGUAGUCCAUGCCGUAAACGUUGGGCGCUAGGUGUGGGGACCUUCCACGGUUUCCGUGCCGCAGCUAACGCAUUAAGCGCCCCGCCUGGGGAGUACGGCCGCAAGGCUAAA